GAGAACCUGCGGAAGGAUCAUUAUUGAAUAAACUUGGUUGGGUUGUUGCUGGCUCUUAGGAGCAUGUGCACGCCUAGCGCCAUUUUUACCACCUGUGCACCCUUGUAGACCUGGAUACCUCUCGAGCCAUCUUUUCUUCAAAGUUGGCACGGUUUGAGGACUGCCUCCUGGCUGUCCUUACAUUUCCGGUCUAUGUCUUUUAUACACUCUACAAGUAUGUCAUAGAAUGUCUUAUUUACUGGCCGUUGUGCCUUUAAAAUCAAAUACAACUUUCAACAACGGAUCUCUUGGCUCUCGCAUCGAUGAAGAACGCAGCGAAAUGCGUUAAGUAAUGUGAAUUGCAGAAUUCAGUGAAUCAUCGAAUCUUUGAACGCACCUUGCGCUCCUUGGUAUUCCGAGGAGCAUGCCUGUUUGAGUGUCAUUAAAUUAUCAACCUUUCUGGCUAUGUCAUGUAGCUGGUCAGGCUUGGAUGUGGGGGUUGCGGGCUUCUCAGAAGUCGGCUCUCCUUAAAUGUAUUAGUGGAACCUUUGUUGAUUCUCGCUCUGGUGUGAUAGUUUAUCUACGCCAAAUGCAAAGUCGACGCUUUUUUAAAAAAAGGGGUUUUGCUAUCUAACCGUCCCUUUUAUGUGGACAACUUCUUGACAUUUGACCUCAAAUCAGGUAGGA
rnacentral:rRNA from 1 species